UUCAAUGGCCGAACUGGUAAAGGCAUUGCCGAUCACAGGCAAGGUUGCGGGUUCGAGUCCCGCUGGAA
rnacentral:tRNA from 1 species